AGCCGCCAGUCCCCUCGCCUGCUUCGCCCUCCCCAAUCCUGUCGCCCGCAAGUCCUCCCCAAUCCAGUCGCUCGCUCUCCCCUCCCCAAUCCCCUUCAUCUUCACGGGCUCUAUCUUCUUCUCUUCCAUCAACAGAAGGUGAGCCCGUGCAUGGUGGUGGCGAUGCACAAGGCGGUGGUGCCAGAGCUCAGGGUUAGGUGGAGAUCUUCUUCUCGGGCGACCCCAUGUACUGGCAGGAGGAGAAAAAGUACCAGCCCACACCAUGGCCACGCUACGCCCCCGUUCUGGACCUCCUCGCGCCGUUCUGGAGGUGGAGCAGAUGGGUGCUCUAGGGGCGGUUCUGGGACAGAGGUGGAGGAGCAGCACGGGGCAGCUCUGGGCCGGAGGUGGAGCAGCAAGGGGCGGCCAUGGGGGCGGCGUUAGGUGGAGAGGGGCUUGGCUAAGAAUUAGUCCACCUACAUGUCCGUCCCUCCCUCCUCUUUCUAUAAUCCCCACAUCUUAUCAUCUUUGUUUUGCAUGGUUUUCUCUCUCCAAUCUCCCACAUAUCCUCAUCUUUGUUUCUGCACGUUUUAGUUUAUCAAUGCCUACAAGGUGUUUGACAAAAAUCCUGUAAGGGAGAGAUGAACCAAAUCUGAUAUUGCUCUGUUGUUUACUCAAGAAUUUCGUUUUUCCUGAAAUUUAGCACUAAACUAGAGUAACUCGAGUUGUCGGUCUAGCAUAGAACAAGGCUAUAUUUCUCUAAAAAUUUUGUCAGUGAAACUAAUUUUGGAUUUGUAUCUUAUUGAGUAAUGCUCAAAAAGUCAUUUCUUUGAUUACAUUCUGGCUUCUUCCUAAUGCUACCUGAACAACUUGGAUUCCGUCAAUGUCUUAGCCUGAGGUUUAAGGGUUAGAUUUUAACUUUUUGUCCGAAGUUACGUCAGACCAACAUCAUUUUGUUCUUGAGAAUUUUUUGUAGGGUUUUUGUUUAAUAACAAUCUGCAACAGUACUUAUGCUCCUUAUAUGUAUUUGCACUUUUAAAAUCUGUAUAUUCUUUUCUAUAUGAUGCAUUUCUAAACAAAUUGUGUUAAACAAAGCAUGAAAUCUUAUUUCCAGAUCAUUGACGAUGUAGCUGUGAAUAUAUUUCAAACAGUACACCUGCAGUUUCUAAAUUGGAUUAUAUUGAUAUGUGAAGAUAUUCAGAUACGAAGGGUGCUCAAUUGCUCAACUUAGAAAUCUGAAUGCUAUUUUUUUAUUCAGGUUAAUGUUCUCUUUCAAAGCUUUGGCGUUUGACACCAAAAUGAGUUUAUAGUUUGAUGACUAAUCCACUAGAAGAGAUUCAGAUUGGCUUGGUAAUAAUGGAGAGUUGGUCUUUGUUAUAUCAUCUAGCUGCAACUUGACUCUGUUCUUGUGUAUCUUGGUACAUCAAAUCUUCAUACGAUUGUGCAUGUACGGUCCGUACAAACUUGGGUGCCGUCGUUGGACUGAAGCUCUGUUUCAAUGAUAUUUUGGUUUAGUAACUGUUGUACAAUUUUCUACUCACAAAUGUAAUCCGGUGGUUUAUUAUCUAUAGGUUUAGGCAAUGGAAGCAGAUCACACUGUAGAUGUCCUUGAUUUUAUUUGCUCAUGACUGAACCUGGAUAUCUUUUCCAGGAAAAUCAUGUGUCAUUUACUUCUUGGGCCAGUGUUGUUUCAGUUCAGUAUGAGCUAUUCUUUGUGAUUCAUGGCAGAGACGAUAGCAGAGGAUAUUCUACAAUUCCAGUAUGAGCUUCUUGGAGUGGUAAGGAAUUGUGCGAUUCAUGGCAGAGAGGACAGCGGACGAUAUUCAACAUUUGUUGUAUAAAAUUAAAUUUAACAUAUUCAAGGAAUGAGCAUCUGGGUAAAUUGUCCUUGAGCUACUUCCUUGUACUAAGAAAGAAAAGUGAUUUUGUUCUCUUCAUUACUUUUUUAGUCUCUUACAAUAUUUAUGAAAUUCUUGUGACCCCUCCAAAUUAAUCCAUGUUGUAUAUGCAUGGUACAGUGGCAGGUUUACUUGUCAAUGAGUUCAAUGUGUUGAGUAAUUCUCUGGUAUCCACUGUAAGCUGUGAGAUCUACUUUCUUUCCAAUGUUGAUCCUGAUGAGAAGUCUCCUCUUGCAGAUUAGCUUCGCCUUGUCGGCAGCUUCACUUUGUUGCGUUGGGGAUUGCUUGGACGAACUCGCAUUUGUGAGAUAUCUUCUAAAGGUUCUGACUGAGGCUGACUGACUACUGGAAGAGCAGCAACUCUGCAUUGCAUUAUCAGUAUCUUGCAUGCUUCCACCACAGUUACAAUCAAAGGCACCUAUGAUAGUUAUUAGAAUAAUAGUUUCAAAGUGUAGUUGGUUUGGCUUCCUUGAUUAGUCUGCUGAGUGCUAACUGCUAAGGUACUAUCUCAAACUAAUUGAUAAUAAUCAUACUACAAAGUCUGUGUACCUCUUGCGGUAGCAACAAUGCAUACUAUUCAGAAUAUCUCAGUUUAUAUAUUAUUAUUUACCUUUCCUUUUGAAACAAACGAUGAGGAAGGUUGGUGAUGUCCAUUGAAUUCUAUGUUUUGAAUUGGAUCAUUCACAGCUAUCUAAGGUUCAUAGUUGAUAACAAUGUCCUACAGAAUCUGGAUAAAGAAUAGCUGGAAGUAAUGCACGUGUAAUUUAAAUAUAAGCGCCUAUAUUGUCUGGGGGUGAAGAAUCUGGAUAAAGAAUAGCUACAUUGCUGCUCUUUAGUUUUUAGUUUCCCAUCUGCAUGUAAAUGAUACUAAUUUUCAGGCUUCUGAUGAUUAUCAGAAUAGUGUUUUCAAAGUUUCUUAAUUCUUGCUAUAAGAUUACCAGAUGAGGUGAUAGAUUUGGACAACGAUAAUGGUUGCUAUUUCUUGCCUAACCUUAGAUUACAUUUUAUGUAAGGUUGCUCUUAUUUCAGCUCAUGAAUACGUGUUAUCAUGGAUUUAUAAUAUAUCACAUUAUCAUCAAGAGAAAAAAAACUUAAUGGUCUGUAUAUGCACUUCUUAUGCUCACAUUCAGUUCAUAGGCAUCGUUUCUUCAUUUUCUUUCCCAUGUAUUCAUUUUCUAGCAUUUUUUUUGGAUUUGAGAGCAAGUUUACCAUCUGAAACUAACUUCAAGAUAUAGGUUUUCUUCUUAUAUUUCCUAUUUAUUCUGGAUGCAUAGGGAGUUGAUAUCUUAAAUUGAACAUCAUGGGAAUCAGAAAAUAGCUUUCAGACUUCACAUAAGGAGACUAACUAUUGCUAUAUACGUUGGUUCUUUUUUCUUUUAUAGUACACAGUAGUAUUGCUAUAUAAUAAUAUCAACUACAGAAGUUACUCCAUUACCCAUACAGAUUUCAUAGCUGCACCUAAACUACCUUUUUCAAAAUUCAGGCUUUGCCACAAAUCGCUCCAGGUUUGCAUAUUUUAUCAGUAGCUUAAUUAUUUGGUCUGGUGGUUGGAAAUUAUACUCGAAUUUAAGCCCAUAAGUACUUGCACUUUUUAGUGGAUAAUAUUUGUCAUGUCUAUUUGGAUUUUAGUGUGUUGCCACUUGCAAAGUUGAGCUAGGCUAGACAGGUUGCCUAUACAUCUCACAAUAUUUUGAAAGGUAUUUUCUCAUAAACAAAUGAAGUGGCCUGGCACUGCCCAUGUAUUACUAUUAAGACCACAAUUUCAGAUGUACUCGAACACUUGGUUGUGGCAUAAGAUGCAUAUGCAUUUACAUUCAGUUAUUUCACAGAGCAUUCUGCAUACAAAUUGUUACACUUAGUUCUACUUUUUCCAAUCUUUAUUAAUAGAUAAAAGUCAUUCUCUGCCUGUAGAAACCAUGAGAAGGGAAAGCACGCCAAGGAAUUAUUCAUGUCGCAGUAAAACUUGCAGCCCAGUGCUCAUUCCCUCCCUGUAGAGGAAAGCAUAAGAAGGAAAAGGCUACCAAGAAAUUAUUCUCCUGCGGAACAUUGCCAGGUGUUCCCUGCGGCCACUGCCUCGCCCGUGCUCCGGUAAUUUUCGCAACCCAACAGCUGCCUAGAACACAAAUUAGUCUCAUCAUCUCAACAAAUCACAUGCAGAAGAGAGAAGAAACUCGGCACAACUUCCAGCAAACAACUAAAAUUAGAGGGAGAUAGGUACAAGUCAAGAAAAAACCUUGCUGUGUUGUCAAAAAAGGAAAGGCAGCACAUCAAGAGUGGAACUGUGGCAAUGAUCCCUGGAGCGAAUAGUGGUUGGAUUCGUCGAGCAGCCCACAUGACAGGCAGUGUCGGCUGCCGUCCUCAAGAAUACUGCGGUGGCGCAUCCAGCUCUGGUUCCGGAGGUUCAUUGCCGCCCCGCGAUGUUCAUCCCCCCUUCGUCCGAGCAGCGGUGGCAGGAUGCACCCUCAGCAUCUACUUGUUCGUGGCUCUCAGAUGCGUGACUGCUUUCCCCAAUAAAUGGUUGCAGGUCGGACAAGGCUCUCAGAUGUGUAAGCUAUGUAUGCAUGCUACGCGAGCUGGGCAGAAGGACAUGCUAGAUGUGAUGAAUCGGUGGUGCAAGCCAUGAGGAGCAUUGUAGUGUACUCCAUCUGCUUCAAUUGGGGAAAGGUGGUGGCAAGUAGUGUCACGGGAGAGAAAGAAAAAGCUGGAAGGGGAUCUGACAAAAUGCCUGUGAUUGUUCGGUGUGGGGGUGUUGUUUCGCGCAUGCCCAUGUGGGAGUAUCAGGAAUAAGCGGUCAGGGCUGUGUCCUAUCACUUCCGCGUAAAUUGUGUGUAUGUUAUUACUAUUUCUUUACUUAUUUAAAUAUAGAAAUUAC